rnacentral:rRNA from 1 species
AAGUCGUAACAAGGUUUCCGUAGUGAUCCUUCGAAGCCUUUUCACACAACGACUCUAACAAAAUCGCGUGCAGUCCCUUCCAUUAUGAUUUGGGGCUACGUCACUAAAGUGCUGGGAUACAAAGUUCUGUAAAUCAGCAGCCAAGCAGAAAGAAAACUUCAAUGUUUGGUUCACAGAUUAGCUGAGUGACGGUCAGUGAGAGAUCAACAAAGAAUCAACACUGAUGAAGAUAUAAUCGGUCUCUAUUUUAUCCAUAGCGACGGCACGUUCCGUAGGUGAACCUGCGGAAGGAUCAUUAUCGAGUUAGGGUUCUCUGGGCCCCAUCUCCAACCCUUGUCUAUCCACCACGUUGCUUUGGCGGGCCCGUUCCCUCGCGGGACCGCCAGGGAGGGAUCUCCCUGGCCCGCGCCCGCCAAUAGCCCCCACAAAUCCUUCUAUCGGUGUUGUCUAAGUCCCUCAGAAUAAACAAAACUUUCAACAACGGAUCUCUUGGUUCUGGCAUCGAUGAAGAACGCAGCGAAAUGCGAUAAGUAAUGCGAAUUGCAGAAUUCCGUGAGUCAUCGAAUCUUUGAACGCACAUUGCGCCCUUUGGUAUUCCGAAGGGCAUGCCUGUCCGAGCGUCAUGAUCAACCCUCAAGCCCGGCUUGCCGUUGGGUCCCACCGCUGCGAGACGCGGUGGACCCGAAAGACAAUGGCCGAGUCCGCGGGGCCCGGAUACAGCGAGCUUUCAGCACGUGUCCAGGCGCCUCCCGGCUCCGUCUUGACCAAACAAUUUAUCAGGUUGACCUCGGAUCAGGCAGGAAUACCCGCUGAACUUAAGCAUAUCAAUAAGCGGAGGAAAAGAAACCAACAGGGAUUGCCUCAGUAACGGCGAGUGAAGCGGCAACAGCUCAAAUUUGAAAUCUGGCCCCUCUCGGGGUCCGAGUUGUAAUUUGUAGAGGACGCUUCGGGCAAGGCCGCGGUCUAAUUCGCUUGGAACAGCGAGUCACAGAGGGUGAGAAUCCCGUCUAGGACCGUGUGCCGCGCCCGUGUGAAGCUCCUUCGACGAGUCGAGUUGUUUGGGAAUGCAGCUCUAAAUGGGUGGUAAAUUUCAUCUAAAGCUAAAUAUGGGCCAGAGACCGAUAGCGCACAAGUAGAGUGAUCGAAAGAUGAAAAGCACUUUGAAAAGAGAGUUAAACAGUAUGUGAAAUUGUUGAAAGGGAAGCGCUUGCGACCAGACUUGCGUGUGACGGUUCCCCCGGUCUUCUGACCGGGUCACUCCGUCACUCCAGGCCAGCAUCGGUCCGGGUGGGCGGUGAAAGACCCCGGGAAUGUAUCUACCUCCGGGUCGACUUAUAGCCCGGGGUGCAAUGCGCCCUACCUGGACCGAGGAACGCGCUCCGGCUCGGAUGCUGGCGUAAUGGUCGCAAGCGGC